GCUUGUCUCAAAGAUUAAGCCAUGCAUGUCUAAGUAUAACUCUUUUACUUUGAAAACUGCGAACGGCUCAUUAUAUCAGUUAUAGUUUCUUUGAUAGUCCCUUACUACUUGGAUACCCGUAGUAAUUCUAGAGCUAAUACAUGCAUCAAUACCCAACUGUUCGCGGAAGGGUAGUAUUUAUUAGACUUAAGCCAAUAUUCCUUGUGUCUAUUGCGAUGAUUCAUAAUAACUGAUCGAAUCUCAAAUUUGAGAUAAAUCAUUCAAGUUUCUGCCCUAUCAGCUUUCGAUGGUAGUGUAUUGGACUACCAUGGCAGUAACGGGUAACGAAGAAUUAGGGUUCGAUUUCGGAGAGGGAGCAUGAGAAACG
rnacentral:rRNA from 1 species